GAUGAACGCUGGCGGCGUGCUUAACACAUGCAAGUCGAACGAUGAAGCCCAGCUUGCUGGGUGAUUAGUGGCGAACGGGUGAGUAACACGUGAGUAACCUGCCCUUAACUCUGGGAUAAGCCUGGGAAACUGGGUCUAAUACCGGAUAGGAGCGUCCACCGCAUGGUGGGUGUUGGAAAGAUUUAUCGGUUUUGGAUGGACUCGCGGCCUAUCAGCUUGUUGGUGAGGUAAUGGCUCACCAAGGCGACGACGGGUAGCCGGCCUGAGAGGGUGACCGGCCACACUGGGACUGAGACACGGCCCAGACUCCUACGGGAGGCAGCAGUGGGGAAUAUUGCACAAUGGGCGCAAGCCUGAUGCAGCGACGCCGCGUGAGGGAUGACGGCCUUCGGGUUGUAAACCUCUUUCAGUAGGGAAGAAGCGAAAGUGACGGUACCUGCAGAAGAAGCACCGGCUAACUACGUG
rnacentral:rRNA from 1 species